rnacentral:rRNA from 1 species
AUUGAACGCUGGCGGCAUGCCUUACACAUGCAAGUCGAACGGCAGCAUGGAAGAGCUUGCUCUUCUGAUGGCGAGUGGCGAACGGGUGAGUAAAGCAUCGGAACGUACCGUGUAGUGGGGGAUAACGUAGCGAAAGUUACGCUAAUACCGCAUACGAUCUACGGAUGAAAGCGGGGGAUCGCAAGACCUCGCGCGAUUGGAGCGGCCGAUAUCAGAUUAGGUAGUUGGUGGGGUAAAGGCUCACCAAGCCAACGAUCUGUAGCUGGUCUGAGAGGACGACCAGCCACACUGGAACUGAGACACGGUCCAGACUCCUACGGGAGGCAGCAGUGGGGAAUUUUGGACAAUGGACGCAAGUCUGAUCCAGCCAUUCCGCGUGCAGGAUGAAGGCCCUCGGGUUGUAAACUGCUUUUGUACGGAACGAAAAGGUUUCCAUUAAUACUGGGAGCUCAUGACGGUACCGUAAGAUAAGCACCGGCUAACUACGUG